rnacentral:rRNA from 1 species
AGCGAACGCUAGCGGAUGGCUUAACACAUGCAAGUCGAGCGGGCAGCUUCGGCUGUCUAGCGGCGAACGGGUGCGUAACACGUGGGUAAUCUGCCUUCUGGUGGGGGAUAACCCGACGAAAGUCGGGCUAAUACCGCAUAUGGCCUACGGGUCAAAGCAGCAAUGCGCCAGUUGAUGAGCCCGCGGCCCAUUAUUUAACCCUAGUUGGCGGGGUAACGGCCCACCAAGGGUACGAUGGGUAGCUGGUCUGAGAGGACGAUCAGCCACACUGGGACUGAGACACGGCCCAGACUCCUACGGGAGGCAGCAGUGGGGAAUAUUGCGCAAUGGGCGAAAGCCUGACGCAGCCAAUCCGCGUGGGUGAUGAAGGCCUCGGUUGUAAGACCUCGUCGUGAGGGACGAAGGUUACUGACGGUACCGUCACAAGAAAGACACCGGCUAACCCCGUACGCC